rnacentral:misc_RNA from 1 species
GAAAUGCGAUACUUGGUGUGAAUUGCAGAAUCCCGUGAACCAUCGAGUCUUUGAACGCAAGUUGCGCCCGAAGCCAUUAGGCCGAGGGCACGCCUGCCUGGGUGUCACACAUCGUUUCCCCAACGCAAACAUGUAACAAUGUUGCUGCGCGGGAGGUCAGCAUACAC